UCGAGGACCAGUUACCGUCAUUUUUUGUCAGUAUAUUUCAUUUAUCUUCUUAACGUGAGAACAUUUAAAUCUAUCCUUUGACAAGGAAAGUGGUUACCAAAAAUACUUUAAUAUUUCAAUUGGUCAGUAUUUAAAAUUAACUAAAUUUCUCAGAAAUUAACUUUUAACGGCGUCCGAUUUCGUACGAGAUUUGAAAAUGCCGAGGACCAGUUACCGUCAGCACCGAAAUUGUUACAAUUCUCUCUUAAUGGUUGUCAGAUGAGUUUAAACACGGUCUCAAACUAUUCUAACAAAUUGUAUAGUAUUGAUUUUUUACAUUUAAUGUUAUGAAUCAAUUUGGAGAUGAGCAAAUAUUUGUUUAUCGCUGAAGCGUCGUCUUCGUUACGCAGGAGUUGUCUCUCUUUGCUUACCUCGUCAAAGUGCCUCAUUUUAAUUUAGCGCCCUUUUCGAUGAAUUGUAAACCCCGGCGUUGAACAACAUGGAAAGCAUGGCUGGAAGUGGAAUGAAGUUGACUGACCAAUUAUGAGGAGAACAAAUUUGAAGACAGACAAAUAAUCAGUCAAGAUUUUACUCAAAAAGACCGCACGUUUGGUGUUGAUAGUCGAGAUCGACUUGAAAUCGGAACUUUCACUUUCAGACAGAGCCUCCAGUUUACAUGCAGGGUCCCUAAAAGGAUGAAGAAUCUUCUUAAUUUGAACAUGUGCAAAUGUUAAUAUGUAGAUAGACAACUACCAUAAAACAAGAAACCAACAGAUGAGUUUAUAACGAAGACUACAGAAACAAUAUGAAGACGUGCAAAAAAGGAAUCUAAAUCUUAAACCUUAUAUAUGCCUUAAUACCCAGAAAAAACUUUUAAACUUUUUGCAGCUUACAACAUACAGG